rnacentral:rRNA from 1 species
CCUACGUGUGGCAGCAGUGAGGAAUAUUGGUCAAUGGGCGAGAGCCUGAACCAGCCAAGUCGCGUGAGGGAAGACGGUCCUAGGGAUUGUAAACCUCUUUUGUCGGGGAGCAAAAAGGCCUGGUGAGACCACCAGUGAGAGUACCCGAAGAAAAAGCAUCGGCUAACUCCGUGCCAGCAGCCGCGGUAAGACGGAGGCGGCGAGCGUUAUCCUGAUUGAGUGGGUUUAAAGGGUGCGUAGGCGGUCUGGAAAGUCAGCGGUAAAAUCGAGAUGCUCAACGUCGUUGCGCCGUUGAAACUGUCGUUCUUGAGUGGGCGAGAAGGAUGCGGAAUGCGUGGUGUAGCGGUGAAAUGCAUAGAUAUCACGCAGAACUCCGAUUGCGAAGGCAGCAUACCGGCGCCCGACUGACGCUGAGGUACGAAAGCGUGGGUAUCGAACAGGAUUAGAUACCCCUGUAGUC